rnacentral:rRNA from 1 species
AGUGAACGCUGGCGGUAGGCCUAACACAUGCAAGUCGAACGGCAGCACAGUAAGAGCUUGCUCUUACGGGUGGCGAGUGGCGGACGGGUGCGGAAUACAUUGGAAUCUACUUUUUCGUGGGGGAUAACGUAGGGAAACUUACGCUAAUACCGCAUACGACCUACGGGUGAAAGCAGGGGAUCUUCGGACCUUGCGCGAUUGAAUGAGCCGAUGUCGGAUUAGCUAGUUGGCGGGGUAAAGGCCCACCAAGGCGACGAUCCGUAGCUGGUCUGAGAGGAUGAUCAGCCACACUGGAACUGAGACACGGUCCAGACUCCUACGGGAGGCAGCAGUGGGGAAUAUUGGACAAUGGGCGCAAGCCUGAUCCAGCCAUACCGCGUGGGUGAAGAAGGCCUUCGGGUUGUAAAGCCCUUUUGUUGGGAAAGAAAAGCAGCAGGUUAAUACCCCGCUGUUCUGACGGUACCCAAAGAAUAAGCACCGGCUAACUUCGUG